CGCAGAGUGCCUUGUCGGUGAUCGAGACGGUCAGCUCGAAGCUGACCGUGGACGUUCCGGACUCGUCCUCGGCGC
rnacentral:tRNA from 1 species